rnacentral:ncRNA from 1 species
AAUUGUUGAGGGCGGAACAGGCAGCCGCCACGCCUUUUUAUAAGGUCUUAAAAGAGAUGCAGAUUGCCACCUGCCAAUAAUU